UUUGUGUGCUUGAUUGUUCAAUCCUUUGCCCUUGCCUCAUGCCUUUACCUUUUAUGACUCAUUGUUGAAGUUGAAGUGCUUUGAACUUGUAAGUUGACUUGUUUGACUUUGAUGCAUCUUUGGAUGUUUAGCGCUUUUUCUUUGAUCUUGUUGAGUUGAGUUCUUGAGACACUUAUUCAAUUGAUUUCACUUCUGACUUGGUG
rnacentral:lncRNA from 1 species